CCUACGGGUGGCAGCAGUGAGGAAUAUUGGUCAAUGGCCGGAAGGCUGAACCAGCCAAGCCGCGUGAGGGAGGAAGGCGCAGAGCGUCGCAGACCUCUUUUGCCGGGGGACAAAAGGCCGGACUCGUCCGGUCCUGAGGGUACCCGGAGAAAAAGCAUCGGCUAACUCCGUGCCAGCAGCCGCGGUAAUACGGAGGAUGCGAGCGUUAUCCGGAUUUAUUGGGUUUAAAGGGUGCGUAGGUUGUUUUUUAAGUCAGCGGUGAAAGUUUGUGGCUCAACCAUAAAAUUGCCGUUGAAACUGGAAGACUUGAGUGUGUUUGAGGUAGGCGGAAUGCGUGGUGUAGCGGUGAAAUGCAUAGAUAUCACGCAGAACUCCGAUUGCGAAGGCAGCUUACUAAGCCAUAACUGACACUGAAGCACGAAAGCGUGGGGAUCAAACAGGAUUAGAUACCCCAGUAGUC
rnacentral:rRNA from 1 species